UCCGAGUUGACCCCGGCAGUCUUCGAUGAGUCCCCGGCAUAACCCGCUGGCAACAUCGAACGAGGGUUGCGCUCGUUGCGGGACUUAACCCAACAUCUCACGACACGAGCUGACGACAGCCAUGCACCACCUGUGAACGCCCCCGAAGGACACCGUAUCUCUACGGCUUUAGCGCACAUGUCAAACCCAGGUAAGGUUUUUCGCGUUGCAUCGAAUUAAUCCACAUAAUCCACCGCUUGUGCGGGUCCCCGUCAAUUCCUUUGAGUUUUAGCCUUGCGGCCGUACUCCCCAGGCGGGGUGCUUAAUGCGUUAGCUUCGGCACGGGGGGAGUCGACACCCCCCACACCUAGCACCCAUCGUUUACGGCGUGGACUAC
rnacentral:misc_RNA from 1 species